AAUGAUCACCUGAACCAGUCAGAGACAGGGCCAGAGUUAGCCAUGGAAGCAAGGCUAACAGAGCCCAGACAGCAGCGCCUUAAGAUUUGUCCUUAUUUGAUGGGGAUGAGCACCUAAUUGGACCAUGGCUGGAUGGAUUUUCCGUUGUUUGCAGCUGACAGCUUGCCUGGAUGUCGGUCUGCGGUGUUAAAUUCGAUUUAAGAAAUGUCAGCUCUGAAGUCCUCAGUGGAGACUCUUAAAUAUGUCCCGUGACCACUGUGAUAACAUUGGCACCCAGAAGAGAUGGAGCACACCCCUGGGAGCUGUAGGGACUUGAGCACGCGGUCUGCUUUGGAGACAAGCAGAGCUGUCAGCAUCCCUCAUGGGCUGCCUCUGAGGUCACUCUAUGGUGAGCAUUGCUUUCUAAAGGCAGAGCAGAGGUCAGAGGUCAGUUCUCUGGAAAGGUGAAGAAAUGUCAGAAGGUCAUCGUUCUCCUCACCAGAGAGAUUCGUGGAUUACAUGCUCAGCACUGUGCAGAAGGUGACAGGUGGUCAGGUGUGACUUCUGUCACCGGGAGCCAGCCGUCCACAAAGGAAAUGGCCUAAUCGUAUGCGCUAUGAUGGAGGGAGAGCACAGGACUCUGCUGUGCCUGCAUGCGCUCUCUCAAAAAAGAUAUAUAAAGUGG
rnacentral:lncRNA from 1 species